rnacentral:rRNA from 1 species
GUGUGCUCGAAAGAGAGCCGGGACACAGGUGCUGCAUGGCUGUCGUCAGCUCGUGUCGUGAGAUGUUGGGUUAAGUCCCGCAACGAGCGCAACCCUUGCCAUUAGUUGCUACAUUUAGUUGGGCACUCUAAUGGGACUGCCGGUGACAAACCGGAGGAAGGUGGGGAUGACGUCAAGUCCUCAUGGCCCUUAUGGGUAGGGCUUCACACGUCAUACAAUGGCGGAUACAGAGGGUUGCCAACCCGCGAGGGGGAGCCAAUCCCAGAAAGUCCGUCGUAGUCCGGAUCGGAGUCUGCAACUCGACUCCGUGAAGUCGGAAUCGCUAGUAAUCGCGGAUCAGCAUGUCGCGGUGAAUACGUUCCCGGGCCUUGUACACACCGCCCGUCACACCAUGGGAGUGGGUUUCACCAGAAGCAGCUAGCCUAACCGCAAGGGGGGCGGUUGCCACGGUGAGAUUCAUGACUGGGGUGAAGUCGUAACAAGGUAGCCGUAUCGGAAGG